rnacentral:lncRNA from 1 species
GUGCUUUGCAAUUUCAACUGUGUUUAAUAGAUUGUUGUCAUGAUCUGCUGUUAUACAGCGUACUGUCCCAGACGAGGGGAGGGUUGCAAGACCGCAAUUUGUUUACACCACAACAUUAUAUAAUAGCAUAUCGUUUGUUGCAGUUUAUUAUAUUAUUGUUUUUCGUUUAUCAUUUAAUAUAGUUUGUUAUUGUGUUGUGCUUUUUUACCAGGUUAGGACGAGGUUGGGCGCUUUCUAACAUGUCUAAUACCGUUUCACUCUGUAUGUAUAUAUAUACAUGUACCUAUCCCAAACCAAAAACCUGUAAUUCAGUUGGUUGUCGUUUGUUGCUGUAUGUCAUUUUUGUUUUGUUUUGCUUUUGUUUUAUUGUUUUGUAUAAUAUAAAUCAGGACGUUAGUUCUCUCGUAUAUAUGAACUGUUUUUCACUUGUCACGGAAGGUAUAUUCUUUAUUACAUAUUUGAUUUAAUCAGGUAAAAAAUAGUCUAUAUAGAAAUAUUUAUCAAAAUGUAAACACAGGAUCAAAACUGUAUCGUAUGCCCUUAUGGCUUGAUAUGCAGUUGUGUGAUUUGCUCAUUGUAGAGGAAGCAACACAGUGAUCUAUAACUACGUCUUGUUGUCUCUGGUGGAGAGUAGUCGCAUUAUUAAUCACGGCCACAUCUUAUCUUUAUAUUGAAAUUAAACUCAAUAUUUGUUGAAUUAACAUGGCAGAUGUAAGAUGAAUCCAAAUGCUUAAAGUCUUUUCUCUUUUCAGUAACUGAGAGGAUAUGUUUUGUUUUUUUAGUUCUUACUCGGUGUUUUUUUUUUUUCGGAAUGCUUUUCAUGUAUACUUCUUUGUCUAAUCUCAACGCGUUUUGUUAAUUUAAGAAAUUUUGAUUUUGGUUUUGAUGGAAGAUCUCUUUCAUACAGUACUUAGAUAUAUAACUGCAAGAUUUAAAUAGACUAUUUAUCGUUGGUCCAUGUGUUUGCCUGGUCUGUUUACGACAUCGGGUUGCUGUCUCAUGGAGAUAUACCAAUCAUAUUAUGACAUUUUUCUUCAAGUCUCGUUUAUUGAUGACUCGGUUCAUUUUAGCUAUACGGUAGUUUUUAACAAACCAUGCUUCUCUUUCAUGCGACAGAUUCCUUUAUUGGUAAUUCGUUAUAAGGCUUUAGACUUCAAUAAUAAAAGGCAACUAAAUUUAAAGUUGAAUCAUUGUUUUCUUCUACUUAUACAGAAUAUAUGGUUUAUAUAGCUCAGUCUAGUUUUCUAUGUUUUGUUUUGUGUACUGUUGUUGUGGUCUUAAGAUGGGUUGUUUUGUCAUGACGUAUUGUUCAAUAUUGAAUAUCCCGUUAGAAUUUUCCGCUUAUCUUUCUUCUUCACAACUUUCUUUUGUUUGCAUAGUAUAAUUUACCCUUGUGGGGUUCGUGUUGCUCAGUCUAGUUUUCUAUGUUGUGUUUUGUAUACUGUUGUUGUCUGAAGAUGUUGUUUUUUUUUGUCACAUCGUUUGUUUGUCAUGGACUUAUGCACGACUUUGAAUAUCCCUUUGGGAUUUUCCGCUUAUCUUUUUUCUUCAUUAUUUUGAAUAUGGUAUACUACUCUGGUGCAUCCUCUGUUGCGCUUCCAAUUGUUUCUCAAAUUCUUAUCACUGAACCAUUUCCUCCAUUCUUGGCGUUUAACGGGUUCGUGGUCUUUUCUAGCUUAAAGUUUGUAUCCUCAGUGUAUUUCCUUACACUUUCCCAUAUACUAUGGUAUUUUACAUACACCUUAACCUUACUUAAUAAAAUACUCAAUUGAAAUAUUUGACUCAUAAGCUAAUAAUGGAGUGUUUUAUAUUAAAUAUGAUUGAAAAUCAAAUGGUCGUACCCUAAAAACG